rnacentral:lncRNA from 1 species
UGAAGUUACGGUAUAAGUUGGUUUGGAAAGCCAUUAGAAUGAUUCCAGCGAAGUUCGGAAGCAUUCGGGCGUUUUCGGUGCGCGUAGGCACGAAAAUGGUACCCGAAAGGCUAUGUUGGACCAUGAACUAAAUCCGACAUUAGCGUAGAUGAAAAGAUGAUGAAAAUACGCUCGAAAAUAUAUUUUGAGAGUCUCGGUGCGAUUUGAAAUAAAUCGGAGGCCAACGAGCGAAAAUGGAGAAGAAACAGAAAAUGCUGAAAUU